rnacentral:piRNA from 1 species
UAAAUACAUUCCUGGAUGAGUAGCCAU